rnacentral:rRNA from 1 species
UCCUGCCGGACCCUACUGCUAUCGGGAUGGGACUAAGACAUGCUAGUCGUGCGCUUCUAAGCCAUGGUGGAGGCGCGGCGCACAGCUCAGUAACACGUGGCUAACCUGCCCUCGGGACGGGAACACCCCCGGGAAACUGGGGCUAAUUCCCGAUAGGUGAAGAACUCUGGAAUGAGUCUCCGCCCAAAAGACGUUCAGGUCAUGCUCCUGAAUGCCGCCCAAGGAUGGGCCGCGACCGAUCAGGUUGUUGGUGAGGUAAUGGCUCACCAAGCCUUUAACCGGUUCGGGCCGUGGGAGCGGGAGCCCGGAGAUGGGCACUGAGACAAGGGCCCAGGUCCUACGGGGCGCAGCAGUCGCGAAAACUCCGCAAUACGCGAAGGCGUGACGGGGCUAUCCCGAGUGCCGUCCGCUGAGGAUGGCUUUUCCCCAGUGUAGAUAGCUGGGGGAAUAAGGAGAGGGCAAGUCUGGUGUCAGCCGCCGCGGUAAUACCAGCUCUCCGAGUGGUGGGGACGUUUAUUGGGCCUGAAGCAUCCGUAGCCAGCUGAGCAAGUCCCCAGUUAAAUCCAGCGAUUUAAUCGUUGGACUGCUGGGGAUACUGUCCGGCU